rnacentral:misc_RNA from 1 species
CCAAAAACAAGGCACAGUAAUCAUGUGCACAAGAGUAGAAAAACAAAUAAUCAUUCAAAUUGUGCUAGCAUCCCUGUUUGUGAUCGAUCUCGAUCAGCUGUUAUUGAUGUUGUGAUCUUGAUUGCUGUUAUGUGCUUGUGGGUUCUUAUUAUUUCCUCAUAUCAAGUUUGUAACCCUCUAUUUGAUUGAAUUUGUUGGUGCCAUUCAUUAUGUGGUCAAAGAGGAGGUUAUGAGUAAUCCAAUGAUAUAUGCAUCUAUAGGGAUUGGUACUUUUUGUGCUGCAAUAGCUGCAUGGAUAGUAAUCAUAUGCACCACGAGGAAAUGUGGGAAUCCGAAUUGUAAGGGCCUAAGGAAGGCAGCUGAAUUUGAUAUUCAGCUGGAGACAGAGGAAUGUGUGAAGAAUUCAAAUGGUACUUUGGUGAAGGAUGGGGCGAAAAGAGGUCUAUUUGAAUUGCCUCGCGAUCACCAUCGGGAAUUGGAGGCUGAACUGAAGAAGAUGGCACCACCAAAUGAGUCCUGGUGUUUCGAGCAAGAUGUGGAUGCUCUGUUGGAAGAUUGGAAGUUCCAGGACCAAAGAAGCAGAAGAAGGUCAAGAAGUAGGACUUAUUAUAUUUCUUAAUUUUAUAGGAGGG